GUCGGUAAAACUCGUGCCAGCCACCGCGGUUAUACGAAUUGGCCCAAGUUGAUAGGUAUCGGCGUAAAGCGUGGUUAUGGGUUUUAACCAAAAACUAAAGCCGAACGUCCUCAAAGCUGUUAUACGCUUCCGAAAGAACGAAGUUCUCCAACGAAAGUGGUUUUAAUUCCCAACCUGACCCCACGAAAGCUGUGAAACAAACUGGGAUUAAAUACCCCACUAU
rnacentral:rRNA from 1 species